rnacentral:lncRNA from 1 species
UAUUUUAAAAAUGUCUAUACUACCCAAAACAAUAUACAUAUUCAAUGCAAUUGCUGCUGAUGUACCAAAGGUGUUCUACACAGAAAUAUAAAAAAAUUCCUAAAAUUUAUAUGAAACCAAAAAGAUCCAGAAUAACCAAAGCCAUCCUGAGCAAAAUAAUGAACCUGGAGUCUUGAUAUUACAUGACUUUAUAUUAUAAUGCAAAGCUAUAGUAACUGAAGCUGUUGUUACUGGCACAAAAACAGACACACAGAGCAAUAGAAUUGAAGAGAGAAUCCGAAAUUUCCAAUCAGUAGAAAAAGAGGGAAUCCUCCCUAACUCAUUUUAUGAGGCCAGCCUCAUCCUGAUACCAAAGGCUGACAGAGACACAACCAAAAAAGAGAAUUUUAGACCAAUAUCCUUGAUGAACAUUGAUGCAAAAAUCCUCAAUAAAACACUGGCAAACUGA